GGAAUAUGACAUGUCUGGACAGAACCGCGGACAGGACACUGGACUAGGGAAGCUGUUUGCAGGCUUCUUAGAGAUGUGGAGUACAAAUAAUCAUAGCAGAGGUGGAUCACUGGAUCUGACUGAUGGUGAUGAUAUCAAAGAAGAGAAUGGCUUGUUUGAGAAAAGGAUAGAAACAAGGCUGCGUUGCUCUACUGUCUGUUGAAGAAGGUAACUUGCUCCAAGUCCAAGAAGAUGGAAGAAGGCUAUAUAUUAAAUAUUUCUGAUUAAAUGUAUGAAAAGGUAAAAAGAAGAGAUGUAAUGCCCUUGUGGGGCGUAUUUUAGAACUCUUAAUCAAAAGAAGCAGCUGAAGGAAAUAGAUACCAAAAGCAUCUGAAGUAAAGACAAUAAUGAUCUCUGAUUCCUGACAUUUUCCUGAUCUCUAGCUGAUAGAGACUGAUUUAAGUUUGGAAGCAUAUAGUUUAAUACUUUUCCAGGAAUGUUGUCAUUUAUCAUAAUUCUGGAAACUCUUGACUUUCAUUCCUGGAAGUACAAGGCUACUAAAUCAAGUUCCUCUUCCAUCUCUGCUUCUUCUGAUUGUACCAUGAAUUUGAGGCCUUCCUGCUAAUUAUUGACAUAAUUAAAAAAUGGUCUUAUUUAGAACCUAUAUGUAAACACACAUUAUUCAUAUAAUCGGUUACCUGACCCGAUCAGUCACUACUCCCAGGUAUUGCAGCAUCUGCUGCCUGCAUGAAACCUAAGUCAGCAAAUAUCAGAUUGAUUUUGGUGGGAAAAAGAGAGAU